UGGACGAGGGAGGAGAAGUCAGGAAGGGCGAACGGGCGGCAGCAGAAACGGCCUCCGGAUUUGGGCCCCGUCCCCACUCACAUCUGCCUUCAAGAAAGCAGGGCGCCUGCUCAGCAGAGCCGGGCGCUCCGGUUGCUCUGCCUCCUGGAGAGCUCCCUACAGCCCCUACAUCCAUCUGUGCCUUACACACAGUAGGUGCUCCAUAAAUGUUUGCCCAGUGCCAGGGAUAUCCGGAAAUGCUGACGUCGGCCAUGGGAUGGCACAAUGAGGAACAAAACACACUUCUGAAAUCAGACAAAACACUUCACGCUCAAGAGUACACUACGGAAGGAUUUCCAUGGCCUUGUAUGUAGUGAGAUGGCAUUUAAAUUGAGGGUAUAAAUUUCUGACUGUGAGCAAUUAUCCAUCUUAUAAUCAAAUAUUAACUUUCUGUCUUGUUCCUAAAUAUGUUAAAGUAUGUUUCUCUUGCCAUAUGCUUUUUAAUUCUCUCUGGGGCAUUCUCCUGGGCCCCUCACCAUGGUCUCCUGGAUUUUGAGUCUGUUCCCAUAGGCCAGGGAGUUUCACAGAGACCCCGUUUGGAACAAGGUUCUCUGUCCUCUGGCAUUGUUAACCGGAACUGCUGACUCUUAAGUUCCAGUGCUUACAUGUUGCAAAAUCACGACUGUAGCUCAUCUGCAGCCCUCUCCCCCAGGCCUUUUACUGGGCUGCAGUCCGAUUAUACUUCACCUCCUUUUCUACACCCUUGGGAAGUGCAUCUGGGAGCUCUCCUCCUCUUCCCUCGCCUGUGUCUGAAUGCAGCAUGCCCACCUCGCACACACUGGUCUCUGCCUGCUCUUCUCCACUCUUGCAUCCAUAGCAACCCGCCCUGAGCUCAGGGCUCUCAAGAGCCACCUUCUACUUAGCUGUCUUCCUGGAAAGGACAACUGAAUGACUUCAGAAUGAAUUGCCGAUUAACUGGAAAUGGUACAUUUUGGUAAUACACGUUCCACUUUUUCCUCUUGGAAUGAAAGAUUUUCAUCCUGGUGCUCCAAAUGCACUCAUCCAUCCGUCCUUUAGUUUGAAGGAAGAUAAUAUAGUUUUACAUAAGGAAAUCAACAAGGAAAAAAUAGCUUCUGACAUACAAAAUGGAUUUUGAACCAAGGAACAGGUUCGAGAGCCAGCCAGACAUUGUUGAAAAAGCCUUCCCUCUUCUUCAUUGCCUUUUGUAAGUGACCAACUUGGCAUGAAGGGCACGGAGAGAACCCCUCCAGCAUGGAGAAGAUGACCCUUGCUCCACAGGCUGGCUCCAUGGCAGCUGAGGAGGAGGAUGGGGGCCUUGCAAGAAAAGCAGACUCCUUCUAGCUGCAGAGGUUGUGAGAUGGAGAAGAGGGAGAGAGAGCAGUGCAGACGUCCUCCUUCCCAGACAAGUUAGGCCACUGAAGUUGCCCCAGGUGAUGUGUCUGAGACCCCACGGAAAGUAAGCGGAGGAUUCGAGACCACAAACCGUGGGACAGUAAAACUGGUAAAAGCUUCCACUGGUAUGACGAGGAGCCGGCCCUGCCUCUCCACCGAGACAGGGAGGAACGCGUAGCCCUCUCCGGCUUCCGCCUCCGAGGUCUGGCGUGUUGGCCCACACCCUUUUGAACACGGCUGCCUCCUCCCUCGGCUUCUCCAGUGCCCUGCUCAUGCAGUUCUCCUUGCUUGUCCUCAACUCAUCUUUCCUCUGUCCCCCACCCCAAAUACGGACCGUUCCUUGGGGUUCCAAUCUCUCUCCUUUCUCCUUCUCCUUCUGUACAUUCACUUGGGAAAUUUCACUUGUGGCCAUGACUUCAACUACUCACUGACUGAAAUUAGUCCACAUCUCUCUCUUGAACCAUAGAAUUUAUUUCCCUUUGCCUAUAGAACACUCCUAUUCAAUAUCACGUAUCUCAAGCUCAGAAAGUCCCAAACCGAAAUUUAAUAGUUCCUCUAAACCCACAACCGCCUUUGGUGUUCCUUCUGCUAGAUUCCCUUUGGUGGUUCCCUGGAUCUUUGAGGAAUAAAGGUCCUGACUCCCAGAGAACCUUGCAUGAGCUGGUCACGCUAGCCUCCUCUUGGACUUCCCCAUCUCCAAGAUUUCUUGCUUUCUCCUUCCUAUUUUUCUGUUCCUUUGUCCUCCUCCUCCUCACUUCCCCUGAGUUCAGUGAGAAUACGAUCUGCUUCCAGGAUUCAGUUCAAGCAACUGCCUUCUCCAUGAUAGGACACCGGACACCAGGAAAAGAAGGUCAGGAUGCUUCUUCCCCACCUCUGCACACCCUGGAAGGCACCAUCUUGAAGGAGCAACUUCACGGCCGCAACCUCUUCCUUUGGGCAGGGCUCUAGCUGACUGCAGUUGGUUGUGGAAAUUUCCAGUCCUCCCACCCAUCUGGGAUUAUCUUACUAGCCCCACUUUAGUAACGGUUGGCCAAGUGCAUGGUAGUUCUUGGAGUAAUUUAGUCAGAGUGCUGUUGGGGAAAGUCUUCUAGAGAAAACAAUGCAAUCAUCAGAAUCUGAGCAAAACACAGCACACGGCUGAGCAUAUCAUACAUUCUGAGGAGGCAGCAGAGUGGGGUUAGAGGGCCUGCCGUAAGAAUGCCUGAACUUGAAUUUCAGCUCAGCUACCUAUUAGCUUUGUGACUGCGGGCAAGUUUCUGAGCCCAUCAGUGCCUCAGUAUCAUCUCUGCAAUGGAGAUGGUAACAAUGGUAUGUAUCUUCAGAUCCUGGUGAGGGGUAUAUCCGUGUGUGUGCAUGUAAGUAUGUGCAUGACACACACACAAACUCGUGACUUUAGAACAGUGCCCAGUACUGAAUAAGUGUUACCUAUUACUAUUUUUAGCUUGUUAGAUGACUAAAGGAAAAACCAGGGUUCAGUCCCACAAGAAAGAUUAUUUCCAACUAGAGUUGAGUAGUUUCCCUCUUUUACACCAAUAAAAACAACCACCAAACUCUCAACUCUCCAAUUAAACUGUGCACUGAAUAACAAGUUUAUAUAUCUUGUGUUUGUUUAGUUUAGCCCUUUACACUAGGAAAAUCACUUUCACUUACUGUUAUAUUAGGUAGCAGUAAAAACAAGAAAAGAACAAACAGGCUUUCUGAACGUGCAAUUCUUUACUUUGUGUGCAAAUACUUUGAUGAACUUCUCCUUAAAUAGCUGGGUCAAGCAAUUAUAGAAACUUCAAACACCAGGGCACCCUGUUAACAUGAGCCACGGUGCACCUCCGAGUUUGUGAUCUCUAUGGCCUUUGCUUCUCACAACAGUGAAAUCCCAGGAGGUAGGAGGAUUGGGUAUUACUGCCCUC